GAGCGGGGCCGCGACUGGCGCUGAACGUGGGCCGACCACGGGGAAGCGGUGCCCCAAACCGAGCUGAUCGCGCGCCUGGGUCGAAGCG
rnacentral:ncRNA from 2 species